rnacentral:rRNA from 1 species
UUACGGGAGGCAGCAGUGGGGAAUAUUGCACAAUGGGCGCAAGCCUGAUGCAGCGACGCCGCGUGAGGGAUGACGGCCUUCGGGUUGUAAACCUCUUUCAGCAGGGAAGAAGCGCAAGUGACGGUACCUGCAGAAGAAGCGCCGGCUAACUACGUGCCAGCAGCCGCGGUAAUACGUAGGGCGCAAGCGUUGUCCGGAAUUAUUGGGCGUAAAGAGCUCGUAGGCGGCUUGUCACGUCGGGUGUGAAAGCCCGGGGCUUAACCCCGGGUCUGCAUUCGAUACGGGCAGGCUAGAGUUCGGUAGGGGAGAUCGGAAUUCCUGGUGUAGCGGUGAAAUGCGCAGAUAUCAGGAGGAACACCGGUGGCGAAGGCGGAUCUCUGGGCCGAUACUGACGCUGAGGAGCGAAAGCGUGGGGAGCGAACAGGAUUAGAUACCCCGGUAGC